UACGUAGGGGGCGAGCGUUGUCCGGAUUUAUUGGGCGUAAAGGGCACGCAGGCGGUCGUGUAAGUUCGUGAUAACAUCUCCCGGCUCAACUGGGAGGGCGUUGCGAAAACUGCGUGACUUGAGGGCUUCAGAGGAAUGCGGAAUUCCGGGUGGAGUGGUGAAAUACGUAGAUAUCCGGAGGAACACCAAAGGCGAAGGCAGCAUUCUGGGAAGUACCUGACGCUGAGGUGCGAAAGCCAGGGGAGCGAACGGG
rnacentral:rRNA from 1 species